AUUCCUACUGGUUCCGGGUGCCGCGCGUGCGCACUUUGGGCGCGCGGGCGAGUGCGUGAUGGGAGCAGGUAGCGCUGUCCAUGGGCAUACCUGGCCCGGGCCUCCCUGGUCUUAUUAUAUUCAUUCCAUGAGGAAUCUACGAUCAGCGCAGUCAAGCAGAUGCCCAAGGUUACACGUCUAAUAAAGGGGACAUUCCUAGAUCGAGCCCAUGUAAUCUGACUCUAGAUUCUGACUUUGAACUGCUGUAUUUCUGAAUUGGAGUUUAACUUCUCUGUUAUCCCUAGAUUAAUGGUAAGUAUUUUCUCUCUCUCACUCAAGGUAACGGAAGUUAACUCCAAUCAGAACGCUAAUUUAGCAUAUCUCCAGUAGAGUAGCUGCAGAUUUAUCCUACUCUAAAAUUUUUACGCUAUAUCUUACCUGUCUUUUAUAAAUGAAGGGACAUCUUCCUCUGUAACACAUGGGAACAUUGUAUAAUGUUUGAACAACCAAAGGCAUUCCAGAGAAAAGAUAGAUGAAUUUAGCCAAAGGCAUUUCAGAGAAGAUAGAUCAAUUUCAUGUAUUUUUAUUAAAGCAAUUAAUUUUAUUAAAACAUAAAUACUGGGUUAUUUAGGCAAGUUGUAGUUUAUGUAGCGUAACCACUAAGCUAUGCUUCCUCUUUUUGCGUGUGUCUGUGUGUGUGUGUGUGUAUACAUGUGUUUUUCCUAAAGAUGUAUCCAGGCUUAGUACUUUCGGGAUAAGUCCUGCACUGUGCCUUGAGAGAUGAGGGGAGGGAGUUAAACGCAAAGAUAAAUUAACAUGUUAAUAGGAUACAGGUCCUGAAAGUCCUUAGAUGCCUGUUAAAUAGUUUAGGCUUCACUCUGGGGGAAGUAGGAAGAUUUUUGAAAGACUGCAGGAAGGACCUGAUAGUUUGCAAGUUAGCACUAUCACAGUGGCUGCAGACCUAAGAGUAGAUGAGAAGGUUUGGUAGAAAAGUUAGGAAAUGAAAUUUUCCAAAGAAAAACACUGGAAAGAACUGAAGGGGUGAUCUUGGAGUUUGAGCCAGGUAGAGAGUUUAGAGAUUUAAGGAGAAUUUGGUAAGAGAUUUAUUGUGAAUCCUACAUCCUAAAAUUUUAAUUUUUUUUUCUUUUCUAGAGAUGAUAAAUAGCCAAAGACGUCAGUGACACGAACACAGUAAGCAUAGGAGGAGCUGAAAAACUAGAAGCAAUGAAAAUGUCAACUAUUUUGAUCAAAAAGUAGCCAUGUCUUCAGAAUUUGAUCAUAAAACCAGAAAUUAAAGGAUGAGAAAACCAUUUUUCUGAAGCUUAUACUUUCACAUUUCCUAGAGAGCAUAUGUGUAUGGAUGGGGGUAGGUAAACACUCCGCAAAAUUUUCUUUAAAAAGAAGAAACCAUCCUGGUUUGAUGUUACAGCUGCCAGCUGCUCCCUUCCUGUGCCUGUGAUCCUCCCCAUACUGCCCUGUUGCUUGCAGGCUCCCCUGAGCUGAGAGGCAGGCCCUCACCCCCAGUGGGCAUCUCCCUGGGACCUUCUUUAUACCCUGGAGAACUUCACAGGGAGUCUAUCUGUACACACAAAGGCUUCCUGAUCCAGAUGUAGAUACUAGGGCUGACUGGACAUUUAAGUCCUAUGGACUUACUCUGCCAAAAUUAUUUAAUAAUGUAAAAAUAAUAUAUAAUUCUUACAAAGUAUCCCCUUCAUAAUAUAAUGAACUUUGGGAUUAUUGCAUUUGAGUGCACAUGUACAGUAUAAAAGAUUAUUAAUUUUUUCAAACAGUUAUUGUCAAAGCUAUUUCGCUCAUAAUGUUUAUGAAAGUGCUUAUAAAGUUCAUGUUUUAUGAGAUUGGAGACGUAUAUUUUGUAAUUUCAUUCAGGUAUUAAUAUUCACAUCCAGUCCUGGUUUUGGCUGAUGAGAUUGACAUUGUCUAAUUUCAAGCUUUUUAAUGUGUAGUGUGUCAGAGCAAGUGUAAAAUUACUAGUGAAAUAUAUACAAAUAUGCCUAACAAUAAGUAGACUUUCUCACACUGAUUACUUGAAACAACUAGGUGGGGCGAAUCAGAUGACUGUAUUAGAGAAUCAACUAAUGCAAAGCAAAAUAAAGUCACCUGUGUGAGUGCACAGAGGUAGCUGUGGAGGAUGAAACACUAUUUUAGGCUUUAGUUACACUCUGCUGUGAUGUGCUGCCUAGUAUUUGCAUUAACCCGCAAAUACUACAAGUUAUCAAUUGUUUCUAAGUCUAUUAUUAAAAAUAGCCUUGCUUCAUUUCUUCCUAAAAUGAAGACAUAUGCAGAGUGUCUAUCUUGCCAGUAUGUGUUAGAAUAAUAUCUUAAUGUGUAUAAAUGUUUAUAGGAAUCUGUCUUUCAAAGAGCUAUGUUUGCAAGUAAUAGUAACCUUUUAAGGAACUUUUUUAUUCAAUCUUUUUUCUCUAUAACAUAUUCUAGAAUUUCUUAAUGUAAUGUUCAGAACCCUUUUCAUUAUCUAUAAUACUAAGUUUUAGGUAGGUAAUGAGAAACUAAUAACAUAUGGAAAAGUAAUGAAUGAGGAGUCAAGAUGUGUGUCAAUAAUAAGUUUGUCAGCCCUUGAAUUAUGAUUUUAUUCAGGAGGUGAUCAUUUUUGAAGGAUGUAAGGUAAGAGCAGUGAUACUAUAUGGUACGUAAGACUUAAAGUAAUUGAGCUAAGAUAUUACUUGAACUAAGUGUAGAAAUAGAAAGAAACGUAUUUUUAAUGCAUUUAGUUAUUUGUAUCAGAAUAUCUAAAUUAAAGAUUUGGUGUGGCUGUUUACUGGAAACAGAUGGCAGAUAAUAUUUCUUGGAGUUGUAAAUGACAACAUAAUGUCUCCAACUCUGUGUAGCUUCUUCCUUCACUUUGUCUUGGCUUAAGAUUUCCCUGUGUCAGAGAAGGCUUUCCUGGACAUCAGUGACAGUUAUUGGUCGCUCAUGCUAUGAGCUCUUCCCAUUUCUCAGUCCUCUUACAGUAGCUGGGGUCAUGAUACUAGAUCUUCUAGUCACUCCUAGUUCUUCUAGUCAUGAUACUAGUCACUUCUCCCGGCCUCCAUGCACACACACUAAAAUGUAAACCCCAUGCCUGGCCAAAAUAAAUACUUGUUAAAUAAAGUUUUCCAUUUCUGUUUGUGAUUUAUCAGAAACAAGGAAGGAAAUUAUCUGUAAAGUUGAUCUGUGCUUUGCCAAUUCUCAUUUAGGGUACUUGACCCUUUUUUAAUGGCUGUGCAUUUUUUAUGAUGAUGAAUAUAAAGUAUUUAGCAGAAAUGUUUUUUAUUAAAAUCUUUGAGCUUGUGGAAUGAAUCUAGCAGCCUGUGUGAAGGAAAAACUGCUAGAGAGUCAUCUUUCUGCCACGUGUAAUCAUUACAUUUAACUCAAGUUCUCCAUGGGAGAUCCAUGCAGAGAUGUGAAAAUGGGACAUCUCUUCCUUCUUAAAAUUUGCUCCAGGUUUUGGCUUCAGGUGCCUCCUGUUUUUUGCCUUCCUUUAUUCCUGGGAGUUCCCUCUAUUUACUUCCACAAGGAC